CGAAACUCUUCCCUCCGUGUUCUUUUUUUCCACAUUCAAAUGUUAAGGAAAUGAAGUAAAUUUGAGAUUGCUUGUAGGUGCAGGCGAUGCAGCUGUGCAGCACCGUACUGUACGUGCAUUCGGAUGUAUUGUCUAUGAGCUUCGCACUGUAGAUGCUAGAGAUCCAGAAUGAGUGUUUCCAUAUGUCUGCUUCCUGAGCGAGGACCAGCUGCUCACAGCAGCCACAUCAACUGCUGUAGUCGUGUAACUCUGUACAUCAGCAGUUCUUAGGGAGGCAAAAUAGAGACGGAAAAAGCCACUGGACAAGCAUUUGUUAUGCAUCACAUAUGGCUGUGUAUCUUUAUAUAUACGUGUUGUGAUGCCUGUACGUAUUAAUGUGUCCAUCGGUCGACUCGGCUGUGAAUGUCGACGUUAUUACUCAAGCGUUAGGCCUCAGUUUUGCGGUUUAACUUCACUGUCAAAGCUGAUGAUGUAGUUUGAGAAAGAACGCUGUGAAAAGGAGCUGCCGAAAAUAUCUCACCGCCGCUACUUUGAAACUCCCUUUAUGUUUAACAGCCCCGUAAAACAAUGCGCCGACCGCAAAGGUGAAAACACAUCUUGCUCAUGUUCAGCGGUCCGUGAAGUAAAGAUGCAGAUAUUAAGCCAACUGAAUCCGUCAGGAUUAAAAACCAAGAACUCUGUGUUUCCAAAGCGGAUUGUUGAGCAGACUGAGCAGCUCGCCCUGACCUGAGGACGCACCCACGGACCGCACAACACAUCAUGUGCAACGUUCCGUAGCACAUUUGCCUCGCUUUGUCAACAUAAUCGCAGGUGCUGUUGUUGUAAAAUGAGCAAGAAUUGUCUAUUUCAGUCAUUUCUCCUCUGGGGUUUUAUCUCCUGUUGGGUCAAUUUUGGAGGGCUUCUUUUUGUUGGGUAACCAAAAAAACAAAAAUACAGAAUGGAUAAUUCCUUUAAGAAGAAAGGAUGUGAUACUGCAACAGGAUUCAAGACCAAUUCAGCUCCACUUCCUGUCAUUUUAUACUUUAAAAUUCCCUCAAAUCAAAUCAUUCUAUCCCGCUGUCCUCAUGCAAACCUCAUCAACUACCGACUCUUACAUGUUGGAAAUCAUCCCUCUCUCUAUACUGAAUUACUGUAUCCUUUGUGAGGUUAUUUUGUGUAUAAUUGCAUUUGACACUAUUGUAAACAAACCGAGCAGCAGGAGGGAGAAAUUACAGCGAAUAAACAUUCAUUCAUUCGUGUGGGCACAUGAUUUCAGAGGGGGCUUCACCGGCUACGCGCAAUGCUGACAUGCAGAUUGAACAAUUGACGCAAUUAAGGUUUAACAGUUUUAGAAAAAAAAAAAAUGUUGUUCAUGAAUCUUUUCUUUUUCAUGCAAAUAUAUUCCCUUCUGGAUCUACGAGUUCAGCUGCUGCUGAGAAAAAUCGUUACGCACGGAAGCCCAACUCUUGUGAAAUGUGACAACACUGCAUUUCCAGGACAAAAGCCAAGUGAAAUACACUGGAAAUUCUUUAUAUUUUAUUGUAUACAGAUAACAAGACGCCUCACCCACACUACCAGUCACCUUGACACUAUUCUUCCG
ensembl:lncRNA